rnacentral:rRNA from 1 species
AGCGAGUCUGCCUUGAAGAUCGGAGUGCUUGCACUCUGUGAAACAAGAUACAGGCUAGCGGCGGACGGGUGAGUAACACGUGGGUAACCUGCCCAAGAGAUCGGGAUAACACCUGGAAACAGAUGCUAAUACCGGAUAACAACAGAUGAUGCCUAUCAACUGUUUAAAAGAUGGUUCUGCUAUCACUCUUGGAUGGACCUGCGGUGCAUUAGCUAGUUGGUAGGGUAACGGCCUACCAAGGCGAUGAUGCAUAGCCGAGUUGAGAGACUGAUCGGCCACAUUGGGACUGAGACACGGCCCAAACUCCUACGGGAGGCAGCAGUAGGGAAUCUUCCACAAUGGACGCAAGUCUGAUGGAGCAACGCCGCGUGAGUGAAGAAGGGUUUCGGCUCGUAAGGCUCUGUUGUUGGUGAAGAAGGACGGGGGUAGUAACUGACCUUUGUUUGACGGUAAUCAAUUAGAAAGUCACGGCUAACUACGUGCCAGCAGCCGCGGUAAUACGUAGGUGGCAAGCGUUGUCCGGAUUUAUUGGGCGUAAAGCGAGUGCAGGCGGUUCGAUAAGUCUGAUGUGAAAGCCUUCGGCUCAACCGGAGAAUUGCAUCAGAAACUGUCGAGCUUGAGUACAGAAGAGGAGAGUGGAACUCCAUGUGUAGCGGUGAAAUGCGUAGAUAUAUGGAAGAACACCGGUGGCGAAGGCGGCUCUCUGGUCUGUUACUGACGCUGAGGCUCGAAAGCAUGGGUAGCGAACAGGAUUAGAUACCCUGGUAGUCCAUGCCGUAAACGAUGAGUGC